GCGCCGGUGGCGGAAUUGGCAGACGCGCAGGGUUUAGGUCCCUGUGUCCAUUAGGAUGUGUGGGUUCAAGUCCCACCCGGCGCACAA
rnacentral:tRNA from 1 species